GUCUAGUUCUUUGACCUGAGGUGCAUCGACAGUUCACUUUGAGUGUGUUAUAGUUUGACUACACCAUAACUCGAUCUCCUAGCCAUUCAGAAUCUUAAGGUAUAUGUUGGCUGUACCAUAAUCAUUGUAGGAACCAGAUUAUACCAAGAUGGGACCUAUCAACCUCGGUAGAUAAGAGGAGUAGUCCUAUGAUGAUCAAAAGAUCGAGUCCUUAAGCCCAUGGCC
rnacentral:lncRNA from 1 species